UUGUCCUACGGGGGGCAGCAGUGGGGAAUAUUGCACAAUGGGGGGAACCCUGAUGCAGCGACGCCGCGUGGGUGAGGAAGUACUUCGGUAUGUAAAGCCCUAUCAGCAGGGAAGAAAGCAAUGACGGUACCUGACCAAGAAGCCCCGGCUAACUACGUGCCAGCAGCCGCGGUAAUACGUAGGGGGCAAGCGUUAUCCGGAAUUACUGGGUGUAAAGGGAGCGUAGACGGCUGUGCAAGUCUGGAGUGAAAGGCGGGGGCCCAACCCCCGGACUGCUCUGGAAACUGUAUGGCUGGAGUGCAGGG
rnacentral:rRNA from 1 species